rnacentral:sRNA from 1 species
AGCAAGUGUCCGCUGUACCUGGCCUGCUACCACCUAAAGGCUGAGCGCAGCCAGCAGGACUGGGAAAGGCAGGGCGAUGAUGGCAGUGAAGGAUGGAGUCUCACUCUGUCGCCCAGGCUGGAGUGCCGUGGUGCGAUUUCGGCUCACUGCAACCUCCGCCUCCCAGGUUCAAGCAAUUCUCUGCCUCAGCAUCCCAAGUAGCUGGGAUUACAGGUGCCCGCCACCACGCCGAGCUCAUUUUUGUAUUUUUAGUAGAGACAGGGUUUCACCAUCUUGGCCAGGCUGGUCUUGAAUUCCUGACCUCAAGUGAUCCACCCGCCUUGGUGUCUCAAAGUGUUGGGAUUACAGAAGUGAGCCACCAUGCCUGGCCAACUUGACAUAACUUUUAAAGAUGGAUUGCCAAGCUGAGACAAAAGCUGACCGUAUGUCCUAUCAUCAAUGGGGAAGACCACCUUCGUUUGUUGAACUUUCAACACAAUUUUAUAACUCGGAUACAAAAUAUUUCUAAUCUACAGAAGUUAAUAUCCUUGGAUUUAUAUGAUAACCAGAUUGAAGAAA